CGUAGCUACAGGCUUAACACAUGCAAGUUGAGGGGCAGCAGGGAUUUAGCUUGCUAAAUCCGCUGGCGACCGGCGCACGGGUGCGUAACGCGUAUCCAACCUUCCCGUUACUCUGGGAUAGCCUUCCGAAAGGGAGAUUAAUACCGGAUGGUGUUCAAUUGGUGCAUAUUAUUUGAACUAAAGAUUUAUCGGUAACGGAUGGGGAUGCGUACCAUUAGAUAGUAGGCGGGGUAACGGCCCACCUAGUCUACGAUGGUUAGGGGUUCUGAGAGGAAGGUCCCCCACACUGGAACUGAGACACGGUCCAGACUCCUACGGGAGGCAGCAGUGAGGAAUAUUGGUCAAUGGCCGAGAGGCUGAACCAGCCAAGUAGCGUGAAGGAUGAAGGUUCUAUGGAUUGUAAACUUCUUUUAUACGGGAAUAACACCAUCUACGUGUAGAUGUCUGCAUGUACCGUAUGAAUAAGCAUCGGCUAACUCCGUG
rnacentral:rRNA from 1 species